CAAGACCAAGAUCACACAGCCUACCAGUGUCAGAGCUGGGAUUUCGGCCAGUAUUACACCGAAGCCAGCACUCUUGUUCUACCAAGGAGUGGCAGUGGCUCUGGUUACCUAUGCCGCAAAGCACCAGAAAAGUUGGUGACAUCUCACUGAUGUUCCACUGGUGGGGCCUCAAGGAAAGAGCAAUGCCGCAUGAGCCUGCUUCAUGUUUUUAUGUGAAAAGAUAGAAGCUGAAGGAUGUCAGAGACACCCACCCCCACUGUGCUUGUAUCCCGGAGGGAGAUGAGGCAUUCAACAGUC